GCCUGACCUGCUGCGCUUUCCAGCAACACAUUUUUCAGGUAAAAUACACUGGAUACCUCGAGCACACCGCUCCGAUCCGCCACUUUACAGAUAUAUCCGCCGACAACGGUGGACUGCCAGCCUGCAACCAGAACUAACUCCUUGGCAACCUCACCGACGACAAACAACUACAAAUGUACGGCCGACGCUUGUCGUAAAGUGUCGCAAACCGCAGGCCCCGCCCUCCCUCCGGGUGGCGAGAUGUCACUAACAUCUGCAAAGUCAGCGAUCGCCUCUCCCCGUGGCCCAACUAUAAUCUACUGGCGCUACAGAAUUAGACAUGAGUUUUGUGAUUUACACAAGAAAGAAGUUCAACUAUCAUGGUAUCUGAACAGAUGAAAGACUCAACAGACAAUCAAGCAGAUCAUUUUGGAGAUACGAGCCAUUUCACGGUGCAGUAUUAUACCAACAGUGAUUCGAUCACCCACAUUGUGGUAUCAAGUGUUUCGAUCUUCAGGAGGCUUUUAACCCUCGUACAAAAAGACCAGAAAUUUGGAUUGAGAGGUUCCCUUGUGGUAAGAUUCACAGGAAAGCUUUGAUAUGCAAUCAUUGUGCAACCAUUUCAAUAUUUUGCAAUCACUAAUGAGGCCAACAUAUAAUGUGGCCUCAAAGUCUUCUUCCCUGGAACCAAGAGUUUAUUAUAAGCUACACUGAGAGUAAAUCUCCUGAUUAUGCACAUUGCAUAUUAUGGGAAAAUGGCAGCUCCCUGACGAUAACAUGGCACAAUCAGCUUUCCAGUAACAUGAAUAACAAACCAAAAAGUAUUUGGGCAAGUAUACCAAGGUAUCAGACUGCUCGAAAAUGGGAAAAAAAAAUAUUGAGACAGUUUACGCAAUCUCAUUAAGCAAGGAUGGCUUCCUUUACUAUAACAGUGUCAUUGGAGAUUUAAGAGCAUUUUAAUAUUCCAGUGAAAUCUGAACUAAGAGAAUGAAAUGCAGCUGUAGUAAAUGAGAAUAGAAAGUAAACGUCAGCAAUUCUGAACAUUCAUAAUUGAAAGAUUGAUAAUUCAUCCAUUUAAUUUUACAGUUAAACAAUGACAGCAAUCCAUCAACCCUAACCAAAACAAAGCUUGCUUGUUAAUUCCAAAGACAGCAAUUACUUUAGUUAAAAGGAACACUUUAUUAUUACUGAACUUAUUUAGAGAAAGUAAAAUGUAUUCACAUUUCUGAUGUUAUAAUAUAUGCUCUGUAUACUUAAGGCAGCAGAAAAUCAAUGGAAUUAAAAACAACUUUAUACAGUGGCUUUAAGAUAAAACUUCUCAAGGCAUUUCAAAGCAAGUAAUUAUUAUGGUCUCCACAGUCAAUAGUAAGUUCACUUUCAUCUUUUUUUGUGAAAUCUGAGGGGUCAUAUAGUGUGGGUUGAGUAUCUCAACUUGGCAUCCAUGGUCACUUUAUGAUGUCUUUACCCUCCAGGACUUUCCAUGAGCUACCUGUCUUCCUUUGCAAGGCAGCAACAACAACCCCAACCUGGCUGCCACCUACUCCUGCAGCUGGCAUCAGGCAUGAAGCUCCAGACACUCAGAACAUCUAACUCAUGAGUACCAAGCUCACUUCACCCAAUUAUCCCACUGACAUUUAAAAAUAACACUAGAGCAACAUAAUCCAAAUAUGAGAAUGAGACCGAGAGAUCGUGUAUGUCAGAUUUGUAAAUUGACAUGUGCUCUCUCCCAACCAUGCUUUGAAAAUUAAGCCCCACAUCUUUCUUCUAAUGCGAUAUUUAGCUGCUGCAUUUUCUGACGUUAACAAUAAUCAUUGCACUUCAGAAAUAAUCUAUUGAUUGUGAGAAACUUUGAGAUGUCCUGAGUGCACAAAUAGUGGGAUUAUAGGUUCCUUACUUUUUAUGGUGUGUUUACACUGAUUUUGAUUUAAAUACAGGAGGCUGGUAAAAGUAUAGGAAGUGAAAACAUUAGUUAUGUGAUUGUUAAUGAGGUUAAGAAAGGCUGUAGGAAGAUAUCAAUGGACUGAUCAUAUAGGCACACAAGUGACAAAGGGAAUUGAAUUUGAAGGAUUUUGAGGUUAUGCUUCUGGUGGGCAAUUAAAGCAUACACAAUUAAUGGAAGAUUGGUGUAGAGAAGCAAUAGCAUAUAGACAGGGGCACCGAAAAACGAAGAGGAAUAGAGGGACCUUGGAGAACAUGUCCAUAGAUCCCUGCAGGCAAGUGGAGUGGCAGAUAAUGUAGUUAAGAAAACAUACAGGUAACUUGCUUUUAUUAGACAAGAUAAUAUAACGGCAGGAAGAUUAUGCAAAGCACUAGUUGGACCACAGCUAAAAAUAAUGUGUUUUUUCAGGAUAGAAAUACACUAGAGAGGAUAUAGAGGUGAUUUCUGAAGGUGUUGUCAGGAAUGGUGAAUUUUAGAUGUAAGAAAAGAUUAGUAGAUUAGGGUUGCAUUUCUUGCAAAAGAGGACACAUAUUAUUGAGGUAAUAUUAGGUAAAAUCCAGGUUAGGUGAACUGGCUAUGCUAAAUUGCCCAUAGUGUUCAGGGAUGUGUAGGUUCGGUGCAGUAGU